rnacentral:rRNA from 1 species
UACAGAGGGUGCGAGCGUUGUUCGGAAUUACUGGGCGUAAAGCGCACGUAGGCGGCUUUGUAAGUUAGAGGUGAAAGCCCGGGGCUCAACUCCGGAAUUGCCUUUAAGACUGAAUCGCUAGAAUUGUGGAGAGGUAAGUGGAAUUCCGAGUGUAGAGGUGAAAUUCGUAGAUAUUCGGAAGAACACCAGUGGCGAAGGCGACUUACUGGACACAUAUUGACGCUGAGGUGCGAAAGCGUGGGGAGCAAACAGG